UACGAAGGGGGCUAGCGUUGUUCGGAAUUACUGGGCGUAAAGCGCACGUAGGCGGCGCGUCAAGUCAGGGGUGAAAGGCCUGGGCUCAACCCGGGAACUGCCUUUGAGACUGGCGUGCUGGAGUCCGGAAGAGGGUGGCGGAAUUCCCAGUGUAGAGGUGAAAUUCGUAGAUAUUGGGAGGAACACCAGUGGCGAAGGCGGCUAUCUGGACGAACACUGACGCUGAGACACGAAAGCGUGGGGAGCAAACAGGAUUAGAUACCCCAGUAGU
rnacentral:rRNA from 1 species